rnacentral:lncRNA from 1 species
AAUAGAAAUUAUAUAUAAUGCACCAGAUAUAUAGUAUAUGACAGUAUAUACAUGCGUACAUGUCAAACUAGUGAUGCGCAGAUCUCUUUGCCCCACUUUCUGCUAGUGCCCCCAACACAUUCUUUCAUCAAACUAAAGCAAAUGUAGUUUGUAUAUGCGUUACAACUUUGUUUGUACUGUAGUUACAACUUCUCGUGGUCCCCCACACGCACCAAACUAAAUUAAAUAUAACUUUCUACAUUCGAUCUUAGAAAUUUGCUUAUUUAAUUAUUAAUUACUUGAAUACUACACUCCCCCAACUCCUCCUGACACAUCUCUAACAUGCAUGCAUGUAUGAAAACUUUUCAUGAUUCAAAAUUUCAAAAUGCAAUAUCUCAC